UGUAGGGGUGCAUGUAGGCACGGUCCUUGUGAUGCGGUACGUGAUGGUGUGUGAGUGGUAUUUGGUUUGUGUGGUUGGCGGGCUCUUUGCUUGUGCAUUGGACCGUUCACCAACAUACCUUUUCAUUGUAUGCUGCAAGUGCACCAUUUUGCCUUGGGCGACGUGUGGUCCCUAUGUUGGAUUCCGAUUAACGGUAUUGUUGUUGUCCCUUUAAAGAGUGAUAUUCGCUCUACGUCCGUAAAAGGAGGUCGAGCGGACCAUGAAACUUGACUCGUUAUCCUCCUGUUUUGUGAAAACAAGCAUGAUAGGGUUGGAUUAUGAUCUCAAGUUGGGCCCUAGGAUACAGAAAGUUGUGUGGGAGUUGAUGUAAAAACGUCGCAAACCCAAAGCGUUGGUACGCUAAUGAUGGAUGACAUUCGAGUGUGUUGUGAUUCUUUCAUCCUAGAAAGGUUCAUGCUCGCCGAUGUCGACCAAGGAGUGCUACCUGGUUGAUCCUG
rnacentral:misc_RNA from 1 species